rnacentral:rRNA from 3 species
AAAUAGGGACUUGUAUGAAUGGCCACACGAGGGCUUUACUGUCUCUUACUUCCAAUCCGUGAAAUUGACCUUCCCGUGAAGAGGCGGGAAUAUGACAAUAAGACGAGAAGACCCUAUGGAGCUUUAAUUAACCGACCCAAAGAGACCUUGAUAAUCAACCGACAGGGAUAACAAACCUCUACCAUGGGUCGACAAUUUAGGUUGGGGUGACCUCGGAGAAUAAAACAACCUCCGAGUGAUUUAAAUCUAGACUAACCAGUCGAAAGUAUUACAUCACUUAUUGAUCCAAAAACUUGAUCAACGGAACAAGUUACCCUAGGGAUAACAGCGCAAUCCUAUUUUAGAGUCCAUAUCGACAAUAG